AGUGACAUUGCUUGUGCCACCAGAUCAAACUGUCUAUCCCUAUGGAAUCUUGGGAAACUGGUUGGAUGGGGACUAAAGCACCCCUCCAGUCAGCAGUAAACACUCAUUCAAAUGUACAAUUGAAUUUGUUAGCAAAGGAGGCUGUCUUAGAUGGAGAUCAAUGGCAUUUACAUGUAAAAGACCCUGAGGUACAACAAGCAUGGGAGGAGCACUUCACAUGCAAAGAACUAAUUACGGAUAGCCAAGAUUGUUGAUCAAGGUUCAGAAGUGCCAGAUUUAAAAGCAGAACUGAAUAGGAAUUCUAAUCUUUCUCUUUUAUUACAGAAC